UACAGAGGUCUCAAGCGUUGUUCGGAUUCAUUGGGCGUAAAGGGUGCGUAGGUGGCGUCGUAAGUCAGGUGUGAAAUCUCGGAGCUUAACUCCGAAACUGCAUUUGAUACUGCGGUGCUUGAGGACUGGAGAGGAGACUGGAAUUUACGGUGUAGUGGUGAAAUGCGUAGAUAUCGGGAGGAACACCAGUGGCGAAGGCGACUUCCUGGCCUGUUCUUGACGCUGAGGCGCGAAAGCUAGGGGAGCAAACGGG
rnacentral:rRNA from 1 species